rnacentral:rRNA from 1 species
ACUUAUGGACAUAGAACCCUGAACACACCUGGUCUUACCUGUUCUUGGAAGUUAAGCAGCGUGGGCCUUUUUUAGUACCUGGAUGGCAGACAGCCUGGGAAUCCCAGGUGAUGUAAGCU